rnacentral:rRNA from 1 species
UACGGGGGGGGCAAGCGUUGUUCGGAAUUACUGGGCGUAAAGCGUGCGCAGGCGGUUUCUUAAGUCAGAUGUGAAAGCCCCGGGCUCAACCUGGGAACUGCGUUUGAAACUGGGAGACUGGAGUGUGGCAGAGGGGGGUGGAAUUCCACGUGUAGCAGUGAAAUGCGUAGAUAUGUGGAGGAACACCAGUGGCGAAGGCGGCUUUCUGGGUCCGCCCUGACGCUGAGGCGCGAAAGCGUGGGGAGCGAACGGG